rfam:Enterococcus sulfureus ATCC 49903 acyDF-supercont2.7, whole genome shotgun sequence.
GGUUAAGUGAAUAAGGGCGCACGGUGGAUGCCUUGGCACUAGGAGCCGAUGAAGGACGGGACUAACACCGAUAUGCUUUGGGGAGCUGUAAGUAAGCUAUGAUCCAGAGAUUUCCGAAUGGGGGAACCCAGCAUCUUUUAUAGGAUGUUACUUUUCAGUGAAUACAUAGCUGAUUAGAGGUAGACGCAGAGAACUGAAACAUCUAAGUACCUGCAGGAAGAGAAAGAAAAUUCGAUUCCCUGAGUAGCGGCGAGCGAAACGGGAAAAGCCCAAACCAAGAUGCUUGCAUCUUGGGGUUGUAGGACUCCAAUAUGGUAGUACGAUCAGAUAGUCGAAUGACUUGGAAAAGUCAGUCAAAGAGGGUAAAAACCCCGUAGAUGAAAUUUGGUAUGCACCUAGGAGGAUCCUGAGUACGGCGGAACACGAGAAAUUCCGUCGGAAUCCGGGAGGACCAUCUCCCAAGGCUAAAUACUCCCUAGUGACCGAUAGUGAACCAGUACCGUGAGGGAAAGGUGAAAAGCACCCCGGAAGGGGAGUGAAAUAGAUCCUGAAACCGUGUGCCUACAACAAGUCAAAGCCCGUUAAUGGGUGAUGGCGUGCCUUUUGUAGAAUGAACCGGCGAGUUACGAUUGCAUGCGAGGUUAAGCUGAAGAGGCGGAGCCGUAGCGAAAGCGAGUCUGAAUAGGGCGUUUUAGUAUGUAGUCGUAGACCCGAAACCAUGUGAUCUACCCAUGUCCAGGUUGAAGGUGCGGUAAAACGCACUGGAGGACCGAACCCACGUACGUUGAAAAGUGCGGGGAUGAGGUGUGGGUAGCGGAGAAAUUCCAAUCGAACUUGGAGAUAGCUGGUUCUCUCCGAAAUAGCUUUAGGGCUAGCCUCGGAUUUAAGAAUGAUGGAGGUAGAGCACUGUUUGGACUAGGGGCCCAUCUCGGGUUACCGAAUUCAGAUAAACUCCGAAUGCCAUUCAUUUAUAUCCGGGAGUCAGACUGUGAGUGAUAAGAUCCAUAGUCGAAAGGGAAACAGCCCAGACCACCAGCUAAGGUCCCAAAAUAUAUGUUAAGUGGAAAAGGAUGUGGGGUUGCACAGACAACUAGGAUGUUGGCUCAGAAGCAGCCACCAUUUAAAGAGUGCGUAAUAGCUCACUAGUCGAGUGACCCUGCGCCGAAAAUGUACCGGGGCUAAACAUAUUACCGAAGCUGUGGAGUGUACCUUUGGUACACUGGUAGGAGAGCGUUCUAAGGGCGUUGAAGGUAGACCGUGAGGACUACUGGAGCGCUUAGAAGUGAGAAUGCCGGUAUGAGUAGCGAAAGACAGGUGAGAAUCCUGUCCACCGAAUGACUAAGGUUUCCUGGGGAAGGCUCGUCCGCCCAGGGUUAGUCGGGACCUAAGCCGAGGCCGACAGGCGUAGGCGAUGGACAACAGGUUGAUAUUCCUGUACUCGUUGUUUUUGUUUGAGCAAUGGAGGGACGCAGGAGGCUAAGGAAUGCAGACGAUCGGAAAUGUCUGUCCAAGCAACAAGUCUUAGUGAGAGUCAAAUGCUUUCACUUUCAAGGACAAGUUGUGAUGGGGAGGGAAAUAAUAGUACCGAAGUUCCUGAUGUCACACUGCCAAGAAAAGCUUCUAGUG